GAUGAACGCUGUCUACAGGCUUAACACAUGCAAGUCGAGGGGAAACGACGGGGUAGCUUGCUUCCCCGGGCGUCGACCGGCGCAUGGGUGAGUAACGCGUAUCCAAUCUGCCUCUGACUGAGGGAUAACCCGUCGAAAGUCGGCCUAAUACCCUAUGGCAGCGACUGCGGGCAUCUAACGACGCUUAAUGACUUAUUCGGUUAGGGAUGGGGAUGUGUCUGAUUAGCUUGUUGGCGGAGUAACGGCCCACCAAGGCUACGAUCAGUAGGGGUUCUGAGGGGAAGGCACCCCAGAAUGGAGCUGAGACACGGUCCAAACUCGUACGGGAGGCAGCAGUGUGGAAGAUUGGUCGAUGGGCGGGAGCCUAAACCAGCCAAGUAGCGUGCAGGAGGACGGCCAUAUGGGUUGUAAACUGCUUUUAUGCGGGGAUAGAGUGUGAGACGUGUCCUUCAUUGCAGGUACCGCAUGAAUAAGGACCGGCUAAUUCCGUG
rnacentral:rRNA from 1 species